rnacentral:miRNA from 1 species
AAAGUGCAUGCGCUUUGGG